GCGGCGUGCCUAAUACAUGCAAGUCGAACGAUGAUGCUCUAGCUUGCUAGAGUGGAUUAGUGGCGCACGGGUGAGUAAUGCAUAGAUAACAUGCCCUUUAGUCUAGGAUAGCCAUUGGAAACGAUGAUUAAUACUGGAUACUCCUUACGAGGGAAAGUUUUUCGCUAAAGGAUUGGUCUAUGUCCUAUCAGCUUGUUGGUGAGGUAAUGGCUCACCAAGGCUAUGACGGGUAUCCGGCCUGAGAGGGUGAACGGACACACUGGAACUGAGACACGGUCCAGACUCCUACGGGAGGCAGCAGUAGGGAAUAUUGCUCAAUGGGGGAAACCCUGAAGCAACAACGCCGCGUGGAGGAUGAAGGUUUUCGGAUUGUAAACUCCUUUUGUUAGAGAAGAUAAUGACGGUAUCUAACGAAUAAGCACCGGCUAACUCCGUGCCAGCAGCCGCGGUAAUACGGAGGGUGCAAGCGUUACUCGGAAUCACUGGGCGUAAAGAGCGCGUAGGCGGGAUAGCAAGUCAGAUGUGAAAUCCUAUGGCUUAACCAUAGAACUGCAUUUGAAACUGUUAUUCUAGAGUAUGGGAGAGGUAGGUGGAAUUCUUGGUGUAGGGGUAAAAUCCGUAGAGAUCAAGAGGAAUACUCAUUGCGAAGGCGACCUGCUAGAACAUAACUGACGCUGAUGCGCGAAAGCGUGGGGAGCAAACAGGAUUAGAUACCCUGGUAGUCCACGCCCUAAACGAUGAAUGCUAGUUGUUGUGGAGCUUGUCUCUGCAGUAAUGCAGCUAACGCAUUAAGCAUUCCGCCUGGGGAGUACGGUCGCAAGAUUAAAACUCAAAGGAAUAGACGGGGACCCGCACAAGCGGUGGAGCAUGUGGUUUAAUUCGAAGAUACACGAAGAACCUUACCUAGGCUUGACAUUGAUAGAAUCCGCUAGAGAUAGUGGAGUGCUAGCUUGCUAGAACUUGAAAACAGGUGCUGCACGGCUGUCGUCAGCUCGUGUCGUGAGAUGUUGGGUUAAGUCCCGCAACGAGCGCAACCCUCGUCCUUAGUUGCUAACUAUUCGGUAGAGCACUCUAAGGAGACUGCCUUCGCAAGGAGGAGGAAGGUGAGGAUGACGUCAAGUCAUCAUGGCCCUUACGCCUAGGGCUACACACGUGCUACAAUGGGAAGCACAAAGAGAUGCAAUAUUGUGAAAUGGAGCAAAUCUAUAAAACUUCUCUCAGUUCGGAUUGUAGUCUGCAACUCGACUACAUGAAGCUGGAAUCGCUAGUAAUCGUAAAUCAGCUAUGUUACGGUGAAUACGUUCCCGGGUCU
rnacentral:rRNA from 1 species